ACCCAAAGGACUUGACGGUGCCCCAUCCACCUAGAGGAGCCUGUUCUAUAAUUGAUAAUCCCCACUCCACCUUCCCCUCACUAGCCUUCCAGCCUGUAUACCUCCGUCGCAAGCUUACCGUAUGAACGUCAAAUAGUAGGCUCAACUAAUUCCCUUAAACACGUCAGGUCAAGGUGCAGCCAAUGUGAGGGCAGCAAUGGGCUACAAUUUCUACAAUAGAAUAAACGGAAAAUCACAUGAAAACUUGAUUUCAAGGCGGAUUUAGAAGUAAGACUGGACUAGAAAGCCACUCUUAACCCGGACCUGGGUCGCGUACAAACCGCCCGUCACCCUCUUCAACAU
rnacentral:rRNA from 1 species